rnacentral:tRNA from 1 species
UGCCCCCGUAGCUCAGCUGGACAGAGCACUCGAUUUCUAAUCGGGCGGUCGCAGGUUCGAUCCCUGCCGGGGGCACCC